GACAGAGGUGCCAAGCGUUAUUCGGAAUCACUGGGCUUAAAGAGUCCGUAGGCGGCAUGUUAGGUGAGGUGUGAAAUCCCCCGGCUCAACCGAGGAAUUGCGCUUCAAACCGGCGUGCUUGAGGAAGAUAGAGGUGAGCGGAACUGAUGGUGGAGCGGUGAAAUGCGUUGAUAUCAUCAGGAACACCAGAGGCGAAGGCGGCUCACUGGGUCUCUUCUGACGCUGAGGAACGAAAGCUAGGGGAGCAAACGGG
rnacentral:rRNA from 1 species